rnacentral:lncRNA from 1 species
GUGUUUAGUAGAAAGACAAUCCUUUUUUCUUCCAGUCAAUUUUUUCUUUGAUCUACAGAACUUGCUUCUUUUCUCUGAAGUUUUCACAAUACAGCAUGAUAGAAGGAGCACAGAGUGCCAGAGGCAGGGAAUUCCUAUGCUUCACUAGUGACUCAUAAGAAAACUUAAUAGAAGGUCUCUACUGCCUGCUGGCCCUGCAGUACCUGAUUGAUGUGGUCCCAAACUAAAGUAGGCUAACCUUCAUUGAACCAAGCACUUCAGAGCCAUGGGAAGAAGUAUGGGGGAAGGAGUCCUUGUACUCUGGCAAUGAGGAAAACAAACAUUAACAGUGCAAGACACAGUGAGAGUCACAGAUCCAUGGAUGGACGAUCCUUUUGAGGACAAUAGAGGGGGAAUUUGGAUAAGUUUCCUGAGUGAGAAACCUUCCAGAUGGCAAUCUGAAAGUUAGCUGUUCCUUCUCAAAACACAGAGCUUUCUCAAGAGAAAGAUAACACCCUCUUUCAUCAGAGCGAGCGAGCUUUCUUCAUGGUGGCAAUUUCCAGUCUCCAGUGCAAGGAGGGGAAACUGAAGGAGAAUAAGGCGGUUACAUUCAGUUAGAGCCUGAGAGCAGAAUUUGGUUAGGCUGAAGCAGCUGGAAACUGUGGAAUGUAAUACCAGAGAGGAGACUGCCACACAAAGAACUCUAAAAAUUUUGAUUUUCAGCAAACCUUCAGAAGGCAAAAGGGAAAGUUUUCCCAUGGGCCAACGUGGAUAUGUUUCUGUAAUAGUCUGCUCAGCCUUCUACAACAAGAUGUCGCAGACUGGGUGACUUAAACCAGGGAUCCUCAAACCCUGGCAAUGGAUCGGUACGGGUCAGUGGCCUGUUAGGAAUCAGGCCACGUAGCAGGAGCUCAUUCUAGGGGAAACCAGCUGCCAUAUUAAGAAAACAGUCCUAUGGAAAGGGCCAUGGAACAAAGAAGUGACUUCUGCCAACAACCUCAUGAGUGAACCUAGAAGUGGCUCAUCUAGUCCUGGUCAAAUCUUAUGGACUGUGGCUCCAACUGAUAGUGUGACUGUAACUUCAUAAGAGACGCUGAACCAGACCACCCAAUAAGACACUCCCAGAUUCCCUACUCUCAAAAGUUGUGUGAAAUAAUCACCCCCAGUUGUAUUAAACUGCUAAGUUUUGGGGUAGUGUGUUACACAGCAAUAAAUCAUAAAUACAACAUCCAAGCAAUAAAUUUCUAUGAUAAAU